rnacentral:lncRNA from 1 species
AUCAUAAGAUGGGUUCCAGGACGGCAUCCUGGGAUUAGCAAGGAUGGAUGUCGCUUUUUCUCGUUUGAUUUCGUGUGUAGUCGGACUCUGUUUUUAUGUAUCAUGAUGGAUAUUGAUGAUUGUAUUGAGAUGAUCAUGAUCAAGCUUGUGGCGAGUGUAAGCCAAUUCCAUAUACUCAUCCCCUCUUUACAUGUACUUGUAAUGAUAUCCAUUCUUGUGAAACGACAAGAUGCACAUCUAUCCUUAUUAAGGCCCUCACGCCCAGAUGAGGAUAGUACCGCAUCUUGGGCGUUACACCAUGUGAAAUGAACUACAUUAACCAUGUGUGAUCGACAGUAUUUUGCCAUGCAAAGCCAAAGAGUAGUUGCCACGUGACAGUAACAUCAUUUGCCAUGUUAGAUCAACAGUAAUUGCCAAGUUAGAUCAACUACAUUUGCCAUGGACAUACUUUGUAAGCAGUAAUAUGACAUCAACCGACAUAAAAAUAACAACAUGAUUAAAGAUGCCAUGAAAUGUCCACUACAAAUGCCAUGUAUAACACAUAAGAUUUCCCAUCCC